rnacentral:rRNA from 1 species
GACGAACGUUGGCGGCGUGCUUAACACAUGCAAGUCGAACGGAAAGGCCCUGCUUUUGUGGGGUGCUCGAGUGGCGAACGGGUGAGUAACACGUGAGUAACCUGCCCUUGACUUUGGGAUAACUUCAGGAAACUGGGGCUAAUACCGGAUAGGAGCUCCUGCUGCAUGGUGGGGGUUGGAAAGUUUCGGCGGUUGGGGAUGGACUCGCGGCUUAUCAGCUUGUUGGUGGGGUAGUGGCUUACCAAGGCUUUGACGGGUAGCCGGCCUGAGAGGGUGACCGGCCACAUUGGGACUGAGAUACGGCCCAGACUCCUACGGGAGGCAGCAGUGGGGAAUAUUGCACAAUGGGCGGAAGCCUGAUGCAGCAACGCCGCGUGCGGGAUGACGGCCUUCGGGUUGUAAACCGCUUUCGCCUGUGACGAAGCGUGAGUGACGGUAAUGGGUAAAGAAGCACCGGCUAACUACGUGCCAGCAGCCGCGGUGAUACGUAGGGUGCGAGCGUUGUCCGGAUUUAUUGGGCGUAAAGGGCUCGUAGGUGGUUGAUCGCGUCGGAAGUGUAAUCUUGGGGCUUAACCCUGAGCGUGCUUUCGAUACGGGUUGACUUGAGGAAGGUAGGGGAGAAUGGAAUUCCUGGUGGAGCGGUGGAAUGCGCAGAUAUCAGGAGGAACACCAGUGGCGAAGGCGGUUCUCUGGGCCUUUCCUGACGCUGAGGAGCGAAAGCGUGGGGAGCGAACAGGCUUAGAUACCCUGGUAGUCCACGCUGUAAACGGUGGGUACUAGGUGUGGGGUCCAUUCCACGGGUUCCGUGCCGUAGCUAACGCUUUAAGUACCCCGCCUGGGGAGUACGGCCGCAAGGCUAAAACUCAAAGGAAUUGACGGGGCCCCGCACAAGCGGCGGAGCAUGCGGAUUAAUUCGAUGCAACGCGUAGAACCUUACCUGGGUUUGACAUGGAUCGGGAGUGCUCAGAGAUGGGUGUGCCUCUUUUGGGGUCGGUUCACAGGUGGUGCAUGGCUGUCGUCAGCUCGUGUCGUGAGAUGUUGGGUUAAGUCCCGCAACGAGCGCAACCCUUGUUCACUGUUGCCAGCACGUUAUGGUGGGGACUCAGUGGAGACCGCCGGGGUCAACUCGGAGGAAGGUGGGGAUGACGUCAAGUCAUCAUGCCCCUUAUGUCCAGGGCUUCACGCAUGCUACAAUGGCUGGUACAGAGAGUGGCGAGCCUGUGAGGGUGAGCGAAUCUCGGAAAGCCGGUCUCAGUUCGGAUUGGGGUCUGCAACUCGACCUCAUGAAGUCGGAGUCGCUAGUAAUCGCAGAUCAGCAACGCUGCGGUGAAUACGUUCCCGGGACU